GAUGCUCUGGAGAACCACUGAAAAUCCAAACAGAAGCGGAUUAAUUUCUUAAACUCUGUCAGACCCACCAGUGAGUCCAUCUUUCUAAAGUCAUG